ACACAGGCAUGCCUUAGUACGGCGAGUGAAGCGGCAAAAGCUCAAAUUUGAAAUCUGGCACCUUCGGUGUCCGAGUUGUAAUUUGAAGAAGGUAACUUUGGAGUUGGCUCUUGUCUAUGUUCCUUGGAACAGGACGUCACAGAGGGUGAGAAUCCCGUGCGAUGAGAUGCCCAAUUCUAUGUAAAGUGCUUUCGAAGAGUCGAGUUGUUUGGGAAUGCAGCUCUAAGUGGGUGGUAAAUUCCAUCUAAAGCUAAAUAUUGGCGAGAGACCGAUAGCGAACAAGUACAGUGAUGGAAAGAUGAAAAGAACUUUGAAAAGAGAGUGAAAAAGUACGUGAAAUUGUUGAAAGGGAAGGGCUUGAGAUCAGACUUGGUAUUUUGCGAUCCUUUCCUUCUUGGUUGGGUUCCUCGCAGCUUACUGGGCCAGCAUCGGUUUGGAUGGUAGGAUAAUGACUAAGGAAUGUGGCUCUACUUCGGUGGAGUGUUAUAGCCUUGGUUGAUACUGCCUGUCUAGACCGAGGACUGCGUCUUUUGACUAGGAUGUUGGCAUAAUGAUCUUAAGCCACCCGUCUAAACCCGACACACAAAUCGAAUUGCCCCUCUUUUUUGAACUAAGAAUGGUUGGGCCUUAAAUGGAAUUCUUUUAAGCCCACCUCGUCUUUACCCCCGGGUACAACAAUAAAAGG
rnacentral:rRNA from 1 species